GGUUAAGCGACUAAGCGUACACGGUGGAUGCCCUGGCAGUCAGAGGCGAUGAAGGACGUGCUAAUCUGCGAUAAGCGCCGGUAAGGUGAUAUGAACCGUUAUAACCGGCGAUUUCCGAAUGGGGAAACCCAGUGUGACUCGUCACACUAUCAUUAACUGAAUCCAUAGGUUAAUGAGGCGAACCGGGGGAACUGAAACAUCUAAGUACCCCGAGGAAAAGAAAUCAACCGAGAUUCCCCCAGUAGCGGCGAGCGAACGGGGAGGAGCCCAGAGCCUGAAUCAGCAUGUGUGUUAGUGGAAGCGUCUGGAAAGGCGCGCGAUACAGGGUGACAGCCCCGUACACAAAAGCGCAUGUGCUGUGAGCUCGAUGAGUAGGGCGGGACACGUGGUAUCCUGUCUGAAUAUGGGGGGACCAUCCUCCAAGGCUAAAUACUCCUGACUGACCGAUAGUGAACCAGUACCGUGAGGGAAAGGCGAAAAGAACCCCGGCGAGGGGAGUGAAAAAGAACCUGAAACCGUGUACGUACAAGCAGUGGGAGCCCCACCACUAAGCCAGUGGUGAACUCCACAUACGCAUCCUUUGCUGAGGAUACGGUUAACGGAGCGAAAGCGACGUUCAACCGCAAAAGAAGCAGAGGGGGCUUAGUGGUGGGGUGACUGCGUACCUUUUGUAUAAUGGGUCAGCGACUUAUAUUCUGUAGCAAGGUUAACCGAAUAGGGGAGCCGGAGGGAAACCGAGUCUUAAUUGGGCGUUAAGUUGCAGGGUAUAGACCCGAAACCCGGUGAUCUAGCCAUGGGCAGGUUGAAGGUUGGGUAACACUAACUGGAGGACCGAACCGACUAAUGUUGAAAAAUUAGCGGAUGACCUGUGGCUGGGGGUGAAAGGCCAAUCAAACCGGGAGAUAGCUGGUUCUCCCCGAAAGCUAUUUAGGUAGCGCCUCGUGAAUUCAUCUCCGGGGGUAGAGCACUGUUUCGGCUAGGGGGCCAUCCCGGCUUACCAACCCGAUGCAAACUGCGAAUACCGGAGAAUGUUAUCACGGGAGACACACGGCGGGUGCUAACGUCCGUCGUGAAGAGGGAAACAACCCAGACCGCCAGCUAAGGUCCCAAAGUCAUGGUUAAGUGGGAAACGAUGUGGGAAGGCCCAGACAGCCAGGAUGUUGGCUUAGAAGCAGCCAUCAUUUAAAGAAAGCGUAAUAGCUCACUGGUCGAGUCGGCCUGCGCGGAAGAUGUAACGGGGCUAAACCAUGCACCGAAGCUGCGGCAGCGACGCUGAUGCGUUGUUGGGUAGGGGAGCGUUCUGUAAGCCUGUGAAGGUGGCCUGUGAGGGUUGCUGGAGGUAUCAGAAGUGCGAAUGCUGACAUAAGUAACGAUAAAGCGGGUGAAAAGCCCGCUCGCCGGAAGACCAAGGGUUCCUGUCCAACGUUAAUCGGGGCAGGGUGAGUCGACCCCUAAGGCGAGGCCGAAAGGCGUAGUCGAUGGGAAACGGGUUAAUAUUCCCGUACUUGGUGUUACUGCGAAGGGGGGACGGAGAAGGCUAUGUUGGCCGGGCGACGGUUGUCCCGGUUUAAGCGUGUAGGUGUGUGUUCCAGGUAAAUCCGGUUCACUUUAACACUGAGGCGUGAUGACGAGGCACUACGGUGCUGAAGCAACAAAUGCCCUGCUUCCAGGAAAAGCCUCUAAGCAUCAGGUAACAUCAAAUCGUACCCCAAACCGACACAGGUGGUCAGGUAGAGAAUACCAAGGCGCUUGAGAGAACUCGGGUGAAGGAACUAGGCAAAAUGGUGCCGUAACUUCGGGAGAAGGCACGCUGACACGUAGGUGAAGUGAUUUACUCAUGGAGCUGAAGUCAGUCGAAGAUACCAGCUGGCUGCAACUGUUUAUUAAAAACACAGCACUGUGCAAACACGAAAGUGGACGUAUACGGUGUGACGCCUGCCCGGUGCCGGAAGGUUAAUUGAUGGGGUCAGCGCAAGCGAAGCUCCUGAUCGAAGCCCCGGUAAACGGCGGCCGUAACUAUAACGGUCCUAAGGUAGCGAAAUUCCUUGUCGGGUAAGUUCCGACCUGCACGAAUGGCGUAAUGAUGGCCAGGCUGUCUCCACCCGAGACUCAGUGAAAUUGAACUCGCUGUGAAGAUGCAGUGUACCCGCGGCAAGACGGAAAGACCCCGUGAACCUUUACUAUAGCUUGACACUGAACAUUGAGCCUUGAUGUGUAGGAUAGGUGGGAGGCUUUGAAGUGUGGACGCCAGUCUGCAUGGAGCCGGCCUUGAAAUACCACCCUUUAAUGUUUGAUGUUCUAACGUGGACCCGUGAUCCGGGUUGCGGACAGUGUCUGGUGGGUAGUUUGACUGGGGCGGUCUCCUCCUAAAGAGUAACGGAGGAGCACGAAGGUUGGCUAAUCCUGGUCGGACAUCAGGAGGUUAGUGCAAUGGCAUAAGCCAGCUUGACUGCGAGCGUGACGGCGCGAGCAGGUGCGAAAGCAGGUCAUAGUGAUCCGGUGGUUCUGAAUGGAAGGGCCAUCGCUCAACGGAUAAAAGGUACUCCGGGGAUAACAGGCUGAUACCGCCCAAGAGUUCAUAUCGACGGCGGUGUUUGGCACCUCGAUGUCGGCUCAUCACAUCCUGGGGCUGAAGUAGGUCCCAAGGGUAUGGCUGUUCGCCAUUUAAAGUGGUACGCGAGCUGGGUUUAGAACGUCGUGAGACAGUUCGGUCCCUAUCUGCCGUGGGCGCUGGAGAACUGAGGGGGGCUGCUCCUAGUACGAGAGGACCGGAGUGGACGCAUCACUGGUGUUCGGGUUGUCAUGCCAAUGGCACUGCCCGGUAGCUAAAUGCGGAAGAGAUAAGUGCUGAAAGCAUCUAAGCACGAAACUUGCCCCGAGAUGAGUUCUCCCUGAGACUUAGAGUCUCCUGAAGGAACGUUGAAGACGACGACGUUGAUAGGCCGGGUGUGUAAGCGCAGCGAUGCGUUGAGCUAACCGGUACUAAUGAACCGUGAGGCUUAACCUU
rnacentral:rRNA from 1 species